UACGACUAGAAAUGUCCGUCACCCCUUGCAAGAUGCCUGGUAGGUAAAUCCGCCGGGGGAAUUCAAGCGUGGGGUGCGAGCGCGUUUAUGUUCGCGAAGUCAUCGGAAGGACGUUCAAGAAAAGCUUCUAAGGGUUGAAGCAUAGCUAACCGUACUAAAACUGACACAGGUAGGUGAGACGAGUAGUCUAAGGCGCUCGGGAGAAUACUGGUUAAGGAACUCUGCAAAAUGGCCCCGUAAGUUCGCGAUAAGGGGUGCCCUUGGCGGUGCAAGCUGCUGGGGGCCACAGUAAAUCGAUUCCUCCAACUGUUUAUCAAAAACACAGGUCUCUGCUAACUCGCAAGAGGAUGUAUAGAGACUGACGCCUGCCCGGUGUCGGUAGGUUAAGGGAGCAGGUUAGCCGUAAGGCGAAGCUCGCGACCGAAGCCCCGAUAAACGGCGGCCGUAACUAUGACGGUCCUAAGGUAGCGAAGUUCCUUGUCGGGUAAGUUCCGACGUACAUGAAAGGCGUAAUGAGAGGAAGACUGUCUCAACCAGUAACCCGGUGAAAUUGUAGUCGUGGUGAAGAUGCCACGUUCCCGCAGCUAGACGGAAAGACCCCGUGAACCUUGACUGUAGGCUGAUAUUGGGCUCGUGUAUUGACUGUGUAGGAUAGGUGGGAGGCUAUGAACCUUGGGCGCAAGCUUGAGGGGAGCCAUUGGUGAAAUACCACCCUUUUAAUGCAUAAGUUCUAACGCUGAUUCCUGUGAAUCCAGGCAGCGGACAGUGUCAGUUGGGCAGUUUGACUGGGGCGGUCUCCUCCUAAAGAGUAACGGAGGAGCCCAAUAGGCGACCUCAGCCUGGUUGGCAAUCAGGCAUCGAGCGUAAAGGUAUAAGGUUGCUAAACUGCGAGACCCAUGAGUCGAGCAGAUGUGAAAGCAGGGCUUAGUGAUCCGGUAGUCCCGUAUGGAAGGGCUAUCGCUCAACAGAUAAAAGGUACUCCGGGGAUAACAGGCUUAUCGCUCCCGAGCGUCCAUAGCGGCGGAGCGGUUUGGCACCUCGAUGUCGGCUCAUCACAUCCUGGGGGUGGAGAAGCUCCCAAGGGUUUGGCUGUUCGCCAAUGAAAGUGGUACGUGAGCUGGGUUCAGACCGUCGUGAGACAGGUCGGUCCCUAUCUACUGUGGGCGCACGAGACUUGAGGAGGUUCUUCUUUAGUACGAGAGGAUUUAGAAGGACGACCCUCUGGUGUUCCUGUUGUCGCGCUAGCGGCACGGCAGGGUAGCUAAGGUCGGAACGGAUAAACGCUGAAGGCAUCUAAGCGUGAAGCCCGCUCCAAGAUUAGGUCUCGUUGGGUAAUACCCGAAAGUCCCCUGGAAGACGACCAGGUUGAUAGGCCGGAUGUGUAAGUACAGUAAUGUAUUCAGCUAACCGGUACUAACGGACGAAUGCUUGGCCAC
rnacentral:rRNA from 1 species